UCCAAAGUUCUGGGAGACCAGACGUUUGGGGGAUCGGGGUAGGGGGAAGAUUUGGGGAAGGACAGGUGGACAGCUGUUGGUGCAAGUGGAUCGCCGCCCACAAUCCCGGUCUUGCUGUGGAUCAGGCUCUCCUGACUUUGGGAUUACAAAAGAGGGGCCUCCCGUUUGGGACCUAUUGCCCACGAAUCAGAGGAAGAGAAGAGGUGAUUAUUCUGAGCUAAGGGGUCCUUAAGAAUCCUUGCUUAGGUCAGAACGCCAGCCCCCUCCUUAGCACCUCCCCCAGCCUCCCCACGCCGUGACCUUACUUCUGUGCUGUCUUCGAUGGAACCAUCUCCUUGUAGGGCCACGGAUGCAGUGAGUGGCCUGAGCCUUCUCAGAGCCUUCAUUCAGAGCUGUAGGUCUGGUUAGUCACCGCAUCAUCCCUGCCCCAAUAAGGGAAAGCCGCCCUCCACACAGUUCCAGAGCAGUGGAGGAUUUAGGAUCCCUUCGCCCAAGGGCUGGCUGCUUGAGGUGUUUCAGGGAUUGAGGGAAGUGUGGUUGGAAGGGUCCCUGAGCUGACCACCGGUCCAGUCUCUGGACCUUGUUGCCUCCUGUCUCUCCAGAAGGAUCUCCUGAGUUGGUCAGUGACCACAAGGAUGGAAGAGAGUUCUAGAGAAGAAGAAGUGGAUGCCAGCGGGUUAUUCAACUAGCACCAAACAAUCCUCUGUGAAGCAGACUUCAACUUGUGCUUCUCCAAGCAAGCUGGGAUGAUUGCCACAAAACCAAGCCAACUCCAUGAAGGAGCUUUUAGAUGCAAAUUGAUUUUCUUGGGUUUUCUUGCUAAGGUAGCUAAAAUAUGGAACUUUGGCCACGAGACACUGAAAUACUUAAGUUAUUAAUGUUGGCAUCAAUUCUAGGGGAAAGUGUUCUUCAUUUGUAAAAGUGUUCUUUCUAUGGUUCUGUUCACAAUAUCAGAAUAACCAACCAUAUGAAUGGACCCCCAGAGACUAUCCACCCUGCCAAGACAUGAUACUGACUGGCUUUUUUUUCUGAAAUUUUUUUUUUCUAUCAGAUAAAAUUGGUGUGCUGGUAUUUCUUUAAAUUCUCUAAAAUUUUCUUCUUAUUACCUCUGGUCAAUAGAACAGCAUUCACAGUGCUUUAUAACAAACUUGUGUUUAUUGUCUAGAGCAAUCCUGAAGGUAUUUGAGUCUCCCUUUUACUUUUUUACACCCAAAGGAAGGAAAUCCUUAUUCUAACUCACUCCUACUUCUCUUUGUGAGGGGCUGUCUCGUCAAUGAAACAAAGUCAAGAAGUAAAAGUGCUUAAUGAUA